rfam:Ciona savignyi cont_17268, whole genome shotgun sequence.
GUCUCUGUGGCGCAAUUGGUUAGCGCGUUCGGCUGUUAACCGAAAGGUUUCUGGUUCAAGCCCAGCCAGGGACA